rnacentral:rRNA from 1 species
UACGUAGGGGGCAAGCGUUGUCCGGAAUCAUUGGGCGUAAAGCGCGUGUAGGCGGCUCAGUAAGUCUGCUGUGAAAGUCCAGGGCUCAACCCUGGGAUGCCGGUGGAUACUGUCGAGCUCGAGUCCGGAAGAGGCGAGUGGAAUUCCUGGUGUAGCGGUGAAAUGUGUAGAGAUCGGGAGGAACACCGGUGGCGAAGGCGGGUCUCUGGGCAUCUCCUGACGCUGAGGCACGAAAGCGUGGGGAGCAAACGGG